CGGUAAUUCCAGCUCCAAUAGCGUAUACUAAAGUUGUUGCAGUUAAAAAGCUCGUAGUUGGAUUUCUGCGGGGACGGAGCGGCCGGACGCAACUUGCGUCUCGAGCUAGCGCUUUCCCCGCAUCCUGCCGCGAACCGUGCUACCAUUAGCUUGGUGGCGCUGGGGAUCGGCUCGAUUACUUUGAGAAAAAUAGAGUGUUCAAAGCAGGCCACACGCCUUGAAUAAGUUAGCAUGGAAUAAUGACUAAGGACUUCGGUUCUAUUUUGUUGGUGUUCGGGACUGAAGUAAUGAUUGAUAGGGACAGUUGGGGCGGUCUGUAUUCCAAAGCGAGAGGUGAAAUUCUUAGACCUUCGGAAGACAAACAGCUGCGAAAGCGUUCCGCAAGGAUGUUCCCUUUGAUCAAGAACGAAAGUUGGGGGAUCGAAGACGAUCAGAUACCGUCGUAGUCUCAACUAUAAACUAUACCAGCUAGGGAUCGGUCAACGUUUAAUCAUUCGACUUGAUCGGCACCUUAUGAGAAAUCAAAGCAUCUGGGUUCCGGGGGGAGUAUGGUCGCAAGGCUGAAACUUAAAGGAAUUGACGGAAGGGCACCACCAGCCGCGGAGCCUGUGGCUUAAUUUGACUCAACACGGGAAAACUUACCAGGUCCAGACAUAGUAAGGAUUGACAGAUUGAUAGCUCUUUCUUGAUUCUGUGGGUGGUGGUGCAUGGCCGUUCUUAGUUGGUGGAGUGAUUUGUCUGGUUAAUUCCGUUAACGAACGAGACCCCAGCCUGCUAAAUAGCGCGGCUGAGCUUUGCUCGGUGCGAGCUUCUUAGAGGGACUAUGAUGCGCGAUAGCACAUGGAAGUUUGGGGCAAUAACAGGUCUGUGAUGCCCUUAGAUGUUCUGGGCCGCACACGGGCUACACUGGCGCCUGCAACGAGCAUAUCAGCUGGCCCGAGAGGGUCUUGGCUAAUCUUUUGAACCGGCGCCGUGCUUGGGAUUGACCAUUGCAAUUGUUGGUCAUGCAACGAGGAAUGCCUUGUAAACGCGAGUCAUCAGCUCGCAUUGAAUACGUCCCUGCCCCUUGUACACACCGCCC
rnacentral:rRNA from 1 species